rnacentral:rRNA from 1 species
UACGUAGGGCGCAAGCGUUAUCCGGAAUUAUUGGGCGUAAAGAGCUCGUAGGCGGUUUGUCGCGUCUGCUGUGAAAACUGGGGGCUCAACCCCCAGCCUGCAGUGGGUACGGGCAGACUAGAGUGCGGUAGGGGAGAUUGGAAUUCCUGGUGUAGCGGUGGAAUGCGCAGAUAUCAGGAGGAACACCAAUGGUGAAGGCAGAUCUCUGGGCCGUUACUGACGCUGAGGAGCGAAAGCAUGGGGAGCGAACAGG